rnacentral:rRNA from 1 species
CACGUACCGGUCGAACGCUUUUCGGAAUUACUGGGCUUAAAGAGUACGUAGGCGGCCUUGUUGGUGAGGUGUGAAAUCCCACGGCUUAACCGUGGAAUGGCGCAUCAAACCACAAGGCUUGAGGGAGACAGGGGUGAGCGGAACAGAUGGUGGAGCGGUGAAAUGCGUUGAUAUCAUCUGGAACACCGGUGGCGAAGGCGGCUCACUGGGUCUCUUCUGACGCUGAGGUACGAAAGCUAGGGUAGCGAACGGG